rnacentral:rRNA from 1 species
AACGAACGCUGGCGGCAUGCCUAACACAUGCAAGUCGAACGAAGUCUUCGGACUUAGUGGCGCACGGGUGCGUAACGCGUGGGAAUCUGCCCUUGGGUGCGGAAUAACUUCUCGAAAGGGAUGCUAAUACCGCAUAAUGUCGUAAGACCAAAGAUUUAUCGCCCAAGGAUGAGCCCGCGUAAGAUUAGCUAGUUGGUGGGGUAAAAGCCUACCAAGGCGACGAUCUUUAGCUGGUCUGAGAGGAUGAUCAGCCACACUGGGACUGAGACACGGCCCAGACUCCUACGGGAGGCAGCAGUGGGAAUAUUGGACAAUGGGCGAAAGCCUGAUCCAGCAAUGCCGCGUGAGUGAUGAAGGCCCUAGGGUUGUAAAGGCUCUUUUACCAGGGAUGAUAGUGACAGUACCUGGAGAAUAAG